AAGAAGCUAUUAAAAUCACA
rnacentral:misc_RNA from 1 species